GCGCCGGUGGUGUAAUGGCGUAGAGCGUUCGCGCCCGGUCAGAGGGAGGUGCGGGUUCGAGUCCCGCCUGGCGCU
rfam:Heligmosomoides polygyrus genome assembly, scaffold: HPBE_scaffold0005563